AUAGGCGGUGACACUUAAGGACGCAUAAGUCAACCCUGCACUGGGAGCUUAUGCUCUCAAAUGCAGAGUGAUCGUUCCGAUGCCCAGACAUCUACAUCCAUUUUCAUUCUUCUUUUGUGGUCCAAUUAGGCUGUUCUUAAGAGCAUGGCGUUACCGCAGAGUUGUAUAAUCGCCACCCUCCACCCUUCUCCCCAGCGUGCUGUACUGCUGGGGAUGCUGAAGGGUGGUGACUAAUGCAGUUUUCAUUCUGGUGCUGAACUGGGAACCAACCCUACUUGAAAAUGUGACUGGGCAGCAGUGUGAAUAGUCACAUUUAUAGCGAGCAACAAUUACUCGAUUUAAAACGUGUUGUCAGACCUUGUCCUGGCUGCUCAGGGGCUUAAUUCUGCCUUUUGAUGCAGUAUUCCUGAGCACCAGACACUGCACAGGCGCGGUACCCAGGCAUACACAGGAAGCCAGGUAAAGAGGGGCCAGGGAAGAAUGAGAUACUGGCAGGACAGGGCUAGCAGAUGAAGAGAGGAGGACAUCAAGACAGGUGGCAUUUGUCAUUGAAGUGCUAGAAGUGAAGGAAAAAGGGCAGGAGGGGUCUAUGAAGCAGUCCUGGGGAGGACAGAUUCGCAGUGUUUGAAUGUGGGAAGAACUAAUCAGUGAAACAUUUUUUAAAGCCAAGUUUAUCUUCGAUCUCCUGCAGUUUCUGAAAGGAUAGUUCAAAAUUCCAUCAAGUAGUUCUGACUUCCUGCUACAGAAAUGCAAUCGCAUUGACAAUAAGAGGACGCUUUUUUUUUUCCCCUAAGCCUUAUCUGCACAUAAACUGGGGGCCGGGCGCGUGGCUCACGCCUGUAAUCCCAGCACUUUGGGAGGCCGAGGCGGGGAGAUCACCUGAGGUCAGGAGUUCGAGACCAGGUUGGCCAACAUGGUGAGACCCCAUCUCUGCUAAAAAUACAAAAAUUAGCCGGGUGUGGUGGUGCACACCUGUUAUCCUAGCUACUCAGGAGGCUGAGGCAGGAGAAUCGCUUGAACCUGGGAGGCGGAGGUUGCAGUGAGCUGAGAUCGUGCCACUGCACUCCCAGCCUGGGCAACGGAGUGAGACUCUGUCUCAAAAAAAAAAAGAAAGAACGGAAGAUAGGAAGAGAGAGACAGACAGACAGAUAGAAAGAAGAAAGAAAGAGAGAGAAAGAAAGAAAAUAAAAGAAACUGGGGGCCGGGCGCAGUGGCUCACACGUGUAAUCCCAGCACUUUGGGAGGCCGGAGGCCGGCAGAUUACUUGAGAUAAGGAGUUCUAGACCAGCCUGGCCAACAUGGUGAAACCCCGUCUCUACUAAAAAUACAAAAAUUAGCCGGGCGUGUUUGCGGGCACCUGUAAUCCCAGCUACCCAGGAGGCGGAGGUUGCAGUGAGCCAAGAUUGCGCCACUGCACCCCAGCCUGGGUGACAGAGCGAGACUGCAUCUCGAAAGAAAGAAACUGAAAAAGUGAUGGG
rnacentral:lncRNA from 1 species